rnacentral:rRNA from 1 species
AACGAACGCUGGCGGCAUGCCUAACACAUGCAAGUCGAACGAGACCUUCGGGUCUAGUGGCGCACGGGUGCGUAACGCGUGGGAACCUGCCCUUAGGUUCGGAAUAACUCCCCGAAAGGGGUGCUAAUACCGGAUAAUGUCUUCGGACCAAAGAUUUAUCGCCUUUGGAUGGUCCCGCGUUGGAUUAGCUAGUUGUUAGGGUAAAAGCCUACCAAGGCGACGAUCCAUAGCUGGUCUGAGAGGAUGAUCAGCCACACUGGGACUGAGACACGGCCCAGACUCUUACGGGAGGCAGCAGUGGGGAAUAUUGGAAAAUGGGCGAAAGCCUGAUCCAGCAAUGACGGGUGAGUGAUGAAGGCCUUAGGGUUGUAAAGCUCUUUUACCCGGGAUGAUAAUGACAGUACCGGGAGAAUAAGCUCCGGCUAACUCCGUG